CUCAUGAUGAUUGACGUAACAUCACAGACUUUGAGUCCCACUGAUACCAUUUAUUGUCGCCCACGUCUGACGC
rfam:Angomonas deanei Cont6023, whole genome shotgun sequence.